rnacentral:rRNA from 1 species
AGAGUUUGAUCAUGGCUCAGAAUGAACGCUGGCGGCGCGCCUAACACAUGCAAGUCGAGCGAGGCGUGGCUUCGGCCACGAGUCGAGCGGCGAACGGGUGAGUAACGCGUGGGUAACCUACCCAGGAGUGGGGGAUAGCUCCGCGAAAGUGGGGGUAAUACCGCAUAUGUCCGCCGGGCCACAAGGUCUGGCGUGCAAAGGCUGGGAUCUUCGGACCAGCCGCUCCUGGAUGGGCCCGCGUUCGAUUAGCUUGUUGGUAGGGUAACGGCCUACCAAGGCUACGAUCGAUAGCCGGCCUGAGAGGGUGAUCGGCCACAUUGGGACUGAGACACGGCCCAGACUCCUACGGGAGGCAGCAGUGGGGAAUAUUGGGCAAUGGGCGAAAGCCUGACCCAGCGACGCCGCGUGGGGGAUGAAGGCCUUCGGGUUGUAAACCUCUGUCAGGGGAGACGAAAGUCCUGUGCCUAACAGGAGCAGGAUCUGACGGUACCCCCAAAGGAAGCCCCGGCUAACUCCGUGCCAGCAGCCGCGGUAAUACGGAGGGGGCGAGCGUUAUUCGGAAUUACUGGGCGUAAAGCGCGCGCAGGUGGCGCGGUAAGUGGUUGGUGAAAGCCCUUGGCUCAACCGAGGAAUUGCCUGCCAAACUACUGCGCUUGAGGCCGGGAGGGGAGAGUGGAAUUCCUGGUGUAGCGGUGAAAUGCGUAGAUACCAGGAGGAACACCGGUGGCGAAGGCGGCUCUCUGGACCGGUUCUGAGCUCAUGCGCGAAAGCGUGGGGAGCAAACAGGAUUAGAUACCCUAGUAGUCC